rnacentral:rRNA from 1 species
CUACGGGGGGCAGCAGGCGCGAAACCUUUACAAUGCACGCAAGUGUGAUAAGGGGAUCCCAAGUGCUUUAUUUCGGUAAGGCUUUUAUCAAGCGUAAAUAACUUGGAGAAUAAGUGGUGGGUAAGACUGGUGCCAGCCGCCGCGGUAACACCAGCGCCACAAGUGGCAAUCACUUUUAUUGGGUCUAAAGGGUCCGUAGCCGGUUUGUUAAAUUCCUCGUGAAAUUGUUAUGCUUAACAUACCAACUUGCGAAGAACACUAAUAGACUAGAGACCGGGAGGAGAUAGAAGUAUUCUAAGGGGAGUGGUAAAAUACUAUAAUCCUUAGAGGACUACCUAUGGCGAAGGCAUCUAUCUGGAACGGUUCUGACGGUGAGGGACGAAAGCUAGGGGAGCGAUCCGGAUUAGAUACCCGGGUAGUC